GGAAAAGGAAAAUUCACGCCUCCAAACCACCCUUCUAUGUUACUUAAAUCCUAUUCAUUUCUAACACCCUGCAUUUUUACAUACUAAGCUAUAAAAUCAUAAUUUCAAAUCUUUGAAUUCCCACCUUAUCCUUACUAUUGUAGUAGGUAUAAAUCAAACUAAGAUUUACUAUGUGCAUUUUAUGAUAUAUUUCACAAGGCUAGCAAUGUACAAGGCUUUAUUAUACAGCAUAGGAUUUCAGGUUAAUUUUAAGUUACUUUCAAGAAGAGAGAAUACAACUUACUCCACUACUUCAGCAUAACUCUAUAGUGCUGCAAAUCUCUCUCCUAAAAAGUUUUCUAUAUGAUGGAUUCUUUAAAAGAAAUAUGUAUAAAAAUAAAAGUUAAUCAAGAAAAUAAAUAUGCACUUAUCCCCAAGAAUAACAAGGAAGCAAAAAACUGCAAUUAAACCUUGCCUGCAGUUUCUAAAGAGAACCAAGCCAAAGUUCAAUCAGUUACUUGUGAUGAGUUUAACUGUAAACUGAGAGAAAACUUUUCUCGAAAUUUAGUCUACCUUACCUUGAGGUUUAGGGUUUUUCUAUACGAGAUUCUGGUUUGCCUAGCUCCACACUCUUGAGCUGGAUUAAGUCAACUGUAAACUAACUCAAACAUAGGAAUAAGAAAUAACACCCUGCUCUAUCCAAGGCCUCACUCAAACGCUAAAGCUCACCAGGGAUAAAUUCUAACCAUGACACUGCCAUUUAACUUAAGAAAUACACUGCGUCUCUGACGUUAUGUGUGGCUGAAUAUUGCAAUCCCCACUGUGAGAAAAAAAACAGGUGCUGCACACGACAGCCCACUCACUCUUGCAGGACAAACCUCCUUUAACUGGAGGUUAAAUAAAUAAAUAUUUAUGAACUCAUUUAACCUUCCCAAAUAAGUUUGGAGCUCGAAAGCCGCCAGCUCAUCAUUUCCACAUUAAACGAGGGUGCAGCGGCACUCAAGCCGUGAAACUGCCCUGGCACUGUCCCCUCGCCGGGAGCGGAUCUUUGCACGGAUCCACUCCCCGAUUUCCUGCGGAGAACCCCUCAGGAAAGCCCUUAAUGCACAAGCAUGCUCCGCCCCACAGUCUGUGACACCAGGGAGCGAGGUGCUGGCGAAAGGGCAGGUUGUAAAACGUGGCAAAACCUGGGAAGCCGCUUUCUCUUCAGUGGUUAAAGCAACGUGCGACCCAACUCGCUGAUCAAGUGUUCCAGGACUCGAAAGAAUUGACAAAGGGCUUUAGAGUCAUCACAACUGGCAAAACAUAGCUCCACUGGCAGGCUGGAGUGCUGUUGAAACAAGAUAUGUUGCAGCAAGUUCUGGAGCAAAAUAAAGCAAGCACUUUCUAACAGCUGUUGAAGUUUACAAAGUAGGGUUAAGGCAGGGGCAGAGAUCUACCACAAAAUACAAAGCAAUUUAGGAAAUACCCAGGACCAACAGAGAAUGGAUUCUUAGGAAGAAGGGAGUAGGAUUUAGAAUCUACUUUUUUUGGUAAAAUGUUGUUAAGUUUAUAUAAGUGGAUCACUAACAGUAGUGUUCUUACUUCUUUAGUAAUUCCUUAACAUUUGUAGAGCUCCUUAUGGCUUAAAAUCCUUCAUGCAAUCACUCUCAUGGGAUCCUAUAGUACCUUAAAAUUACAAAGCCCUGUCACCAGACUUCAUUACUUAUAAUCUUUAUCACUGAUCUGCAAUGUUCAUCAUAUCCAUUUUGCAAGUUAGAAAAGUUAGGCUCAUAUAAUUAAGGGAUCUGCUUAACAUCACCCAACUUAUGGGGAAAAGCUGGAACUCAACUUCAGGGCUUUCAAAUUUCCAUAAGUGCCUCCUUAUUGUUGAUUUCUGCAAAUAAAGAAAAUGUAGCUCAGGCUAUCAUAACAUUUGAAGGCCAUCAAUCAACUUUCCAUUUGACAAAAGAGAAAACCGAGACUCUUAAGAGUUGAGACUUGGCCCCAGGUCACAUGGUUAUCAACAGAGCUCAGAUACUGGAUCACCAUCACCAUCAUCCAGUUCAGAGUUGAUUCUACUUUGUCUUGCUUCCUCUUGUAGUUUGUUGGUAGCUAGAUAUAAAUCACACAUGUUAAUUUGGAAACUUGG
rnacentral:lncRNA from 1 species